AUAUCACAACACAACUCUAGAUAAAAAUUAAAAUAAUACAAGCUUUAUAUUACAAGCCAGGGACCUCGAGGGCUCGAAUACAUAAGCUCGAAAACAAAAGAGUCGGCGGAAGCAACGUUAUCUGAGUACAGACAUGAGUUAAACAAGUUUACCUUAAGAAGGCUAGCACAAAAGCAACAACGAUCGAAAAGGCAAGGCCUCCUGCCUGGGAGCCUCCUAACUACUCCAAGUCGUCAGCGGUCUUCACGUAGUAGUAGGAAUCCUUCGGGUAGUAGUAGUCAUCAGUGGCAUCGUCUGGCUCCUGGGAUCCGUCAUUUGGUCGCAACAAUCGGGUAUGGGGGAAAAGAGGUAGCAAAGCAGCCGUGAGUACUCAUCCAAAGUACUCGCAAGACUUACAUCAGAUCUAAACUAAGUAUGCAUCUGUAUCAAAUGAAUGAGUUGUAUCUGUCGACUAAACUGCAGAAUGCCAGAAAGAAGGGGAAAGCCUAGCCUAUUGAAGACUAGCAUCUUCAAGCAUCUUGCAGCAUUUAGAAGAGUACAUAUCAACAUAAUGCAGCAGCAGCAGCAGCAGCAGUGUUAGCAACCUCGGCCAGAGAUCCUUUCUCGACUCAAAGCAAAAAAGCAAUCCCAGAGCCAUACUAUCCAUUUCUCAUAUCCAUUCAUUUCUCAUCAUGAGUAUCCAGUUCUAGUUGUAUCGAUCGGGAUACAACUCCAAGUGUCCGCUACCGUAGGACAGGCUAUCGAUAGAUGUUUUCUUCCCUGCAGGGGUGCACCAACUUACCCACCACGCUCGAUUAACUCUGGCCGGACACACUUUCCUGGGUCAUGCCCGGCCUCGGCCAAACAAUACGCCGCAACCCGACCUAGGCUUAAUAGAGAGGCCAGCACGCCGGACUAAACCUAUGCCCCCAGGGGUCAUGGGCCAUCUCCCCGGGAACUCCUGCACAUUGCGUACGCGGCCGGUGAGCAGACCUAGCUACCUCCUUCAACAAGGCAGGUGCUUACGCAGUCCAACCCGGCGCGCGCCGCUCAGUCGCUGACGUCUAUUAAGCUUCGGCUGAUGCAUACGACGCAGAAUGCCCAUACUAUGCCCACGUGAUGGUUAGUGCUAUCAGGCCAGAGGCCCCUCGGAUCAAAUAUCCAAAUCGUAGUGGAUUAGGAACGCGCGGUAACAAGCAGAGACUCACGAAAGAUUUGACCCCGUUGCCCCGUCUCGAGGACUUGUGGCAAGGGCUAGGAAUGCCCGGCCACGCCUCGUAAUUAUCUCGCGGGCACCCUCCAGGUCAACCUGACUCCACAUCACUCGCAAUUAAGCUCGCGCGGGUACCCCUCAGGGUCGACCCAUCUUUCCAAGUAACAGUGGUAAAGUCCAAGUAUCCGUGUGUCCAAACAUCAAGGGGAAAACCCGAGGAAUCACCCCCGAUGAAUUCCACUAGAUGUAAUCAUCAAGGUGAACGUAAGAGGAAUCACCCUCGAGGUUCACACUUGAGGGGUUGCACGACAGAGCCGUAUCGGAAGUGGUUAAGGAGGAAAUCACCCUCGAUGACCACGACCGAAUAGCUACACUAUAGGUUAUCAACAGAAGUGCUGAAGAGGUCUCACCCUCGGCACUCGAUAGUAACCCAGUAGUGUCGAGCAACUAAGGGGAAGUGAUGUGCGGUGUCGGGGCCUGGUCUACGAUCCCGUUGAUCGGGUCUUCAAUGAUGAAGCAAGGGCAACAAGGAUAAGGUGGGGGGUCACUGGUGGAUCACUAACCAACCUAUACUAGGCAGUUUAGGAUAAGCAGGUAAGGUACAACAACAGAUACAAAAGCGGGCUAUGCAUCAGAAUAGGAGCGAACAAUAACAAUAGCAAAAUCUAAUGCAAGCAUGAGAGAAUGGAAUGGGCGAUAUCGGGAUGAUCAAAGGGGGGGGGGCUUGCUUGCCUGGUUGCUCUGGCAAGGAGGGGUCCUCGUCGACGUAGUCGAUCACAGGGGCUGCAUCGGUCUCGGGGUCUACCGGAGAGAAGAGGGGGAAGAAACAGUAAAUACAGAGCAAACAAUGCAUCACAAAAUAUAACAAGGCAAAACGCGGUGCCAGAGGUGACCUAACGCAGUACUAGGCGAUACUGGUGAAGGGGAGAAACAUCCGGGAAAAUAUCCCCGGUGUUCCGCGUUUUCGGACAGAUGAAUCGGAGGGGGAAAGUUGCGUGUUCGCUAUGUUAGGGAUGUGUGGCGGACGAACGGGUUGCGUAUCUAGGUUCGCCCCGUCGUUCUGAGCAACUUUCAUAUAGAAAACUUUUUCAUCAGAGUUACCGAUUAUUUUCUAUUAAUUUUCAAAGCUUAUACAGUUUUCUGAAAUUACAGCAUUUGUUUACUCCGAAUUGACCAAGUCAAAUCGACUGGUCAAAAGGGAAGGCGUGGCCCACAUGGCAUAGACUAUAUGUAAACAAAAUAAUUAAAAACUAACUUUAACUAAAUGGGGUCCACCUGCCUUAGGCUAGCAACUACCCUAACAAAGAUUACCUAAGUAGUCUAAAUUAGCCUAAACUAAUUAACCCGGCCACACACAACACCUACGCACACACGGCCAUAGCCACCACUAGCAGCAACCAGCGAUUGCAAGCAGCCGUAGCAGGAGCCAAGCAACACUAGCGGUAGUAGCAACUACAGGCAAAAGAAGCGGCGCAGUACCAGGCAGAGGAAGCAGCAGGAAAGAGCAGUAGCGACAGCAGAACAACAGCAGGCACGGCAAGGCAGCGUCAGCAGAAGGCGAGCGGGGGCGCGGUGCGCGUGCACGCUGGCUGGCGUAGCGGGGCAGCAGCAGCGCCGCAAGCAGCAGCAGGUAGAGCAGUGCGCGGCCGCGACAGCGCAGGGCAGCAACAGCUGCGGUAGCAGGGGAGGAGGAGCACAGGCGCAUGCGAGGCCCAAGGGCGCGGGCGUGGGUGGCUCGCGAGGGAGCGACCAGGAGCACGUGGGCGCGCACGUGGAUGAGGUUUCGGCCAUGGCGCUCGAGCUCGUGGGGAUGGCGAUACAGCAAUGAAUCAACGGAGUAAAGGCCGGGAAUCGGAGGAGGUGCUCACCACAGAGGCACACGAAGGCCCGUUGGUGUCUCAGGAGCUGCAGAGGCGACGGAUCGACGAAGAACAGCGGCGAUGACCGAGGAAGAAGAUGAUGUCGAUCUGGCCGAUGCGGUAGCUCCGGGCUUGAGCUCGUGGGCGAGGAAGACGAAGCACACGACGGCGGAUCCGCGGGACCUCCCAGCUCGGCGUGGGGGCAACCGUGGCCGUGAGGUCGACGACAACAGCGGUGACGGAGGCGUUCGGGAGUGGGACAGAACUAGAGAGGGGAACGCCUGGGAGAGGGGGAGUGGAUGAGAAUGGGAGUGAGGCCAGGGAGGAACCGAGGCGCCAG
rnacentral:lncRNA from 1 species